GAAUCCAGCUUGAAAGCAAGUCAAGGGCAGCUAAGCAAGCAGAGAGCAGAGACAGUUUCCCAGAGCAGUAGGAAAUGGCAGAGAGAGAAUGCUGAAGCCUCUGAGAAAAUGCAUUAUAGAUUCUCACGAAGAAUUAGUGAUUACAAAUCCAGUCAUCCAAUAGAGAAAUGGCAAUACUAAAACUGAAACAUUGCACAACUGGGAAUGCUUUGAUGCAAGCAAAUUACACCAUUAAAUCCCAGUAGUGAGAGAAGAAAAUUAAGGAAGGAGUGUGUCUUACGUCUGAUACUGCUUCCUCGUGUCAGAAGCAGUGAAGCUGCUGCUGAGCAGUGAACACUCAAGACUGAGAAGUAAUGAAAAGAAAGAGAGAGAGAGAGAGAGUGAGUGAGUGAGAGAGAA